rnacentral:lncRNA from 1 species
UCAUAUAUUGUUCAUAUCCUAUAUUCGAGAUUAUUUCAAGGCCAUGAAUUAUGGAGCACUCAGAAACUUUGAAUAAGGUGACGGAUUGUGUAAUCAGCCCACAAAACUUGCACCAUUUUUAAGAAAAACAAGAAUCAAAGAGGGAGCCAAAAGCACACAGUAUACAAGAUUGAUGAACUUUUCAAAUUCGGAUGAAUUAAUAAAUUUUCACUAGCUCAAUCCAAUUUAUCAACAUUUAAUAGAACCCAAUAUCAUCUUGAAAAUUUCCCUGAGAAAAGCAUUUAAAGAGGACAAGAAAACCAGCAUGAUUUACGUCAAGCUAGGAUAAACCUAAGUAUGGAUUAAGAACAUUGUUUGAGAAUUGAAUAUUUCAUGCCAUAAGCCAUAUCAGUGAUAAUUAAUCCUCAAAUAAACUCACAAACUCAUUUAAAAAUCCCAAGAGACUUGCUAUGCAUUCAGUUCCACCAAAAUCUGCUGCAACCUAACAAAAUUGCUCAUAACACAUCAUCAAAAUCUCACCAAUCCCAUAUUGAGUUAUUACAAUUAAGGUAGGAAACCGAGGAAAUCCAAAAGAGAAGCUCGAAAGUCAUUCUGACAUAUUUAAUCUCAAACAUUGCAAAAUGAACGACGGUAACCAAAUUCAUCCAUAUAACAAACUGCCUUAGUUUCUUAGAUUUAGGUUAAUAAUAGAAGAUUAAUUAAAUGUCAACCUCAAAUCAUUAAUAAUAAAAAAGAUACUACUUACCACACCAAUCAAAUAUUCAAACUAAUGCAUAUUAAACAACUCAAAUAACCAACAAAUCAGAAUAUAACCCAAACCGUCAUCAUGUUGAACUGCUAUGAACUGACAUUUAGACCCAAACAAACUAGAUGCAAAAAUUUAUCCCUCUCUAGAUGGAUCUUCCAAGGCUACCAUUAAUGUUAAGAAAAUUAAGAUAGAAUAGUAGGAAACAGACCUGUUGAGAAAAAUCUUUUAAUAAUAAGAGAAGCAAUCAUCAAAUACAAGCUUGGCUCCAAAUCCAAACGAGAAAACCAAAGCAGAAUGGGACAGAAUCAUCGAAAACGAAUCAAAAUCGCGAACGACAACCAAAAAUACUCCCAUAGAAUUCAAUCAAACUCCACAUCGAGUUCAAAUUAGCUCUGAGAGAAGAAUUCAGAAAUCAGGAACUGAAGUGCAUUUUUCAGAUUUGAGCAAAAAGAAAAACUCUGUGAUUUUUUUUGUUUCUGUUUUUAUAUGAACGAAAUCAGAAGAAAAAAAGUUGUAAAAUCAAAAACUAAAGCCCUCAUUCUCUUUCUCUACAAAAAAAGAACUUCUGACCUAAAAAUCUCCUCCUAAAUUUGUUCUCCCCUUUUUUUUAUCCAAAAAUUCUUCCUUAUAUCCCUUACCUUCCAGAUUCUUUCUUUUUCUUCAAGAAAUCAGAUAAGGCCUAUUUGAAAACGAGCACAUGAUGAAUGUGAGGCUCAGAUUGAAUGAAAUCGAUCCUACGCCUCUCAUUCAUCCAACACACGUCCUCCAGAACCUUCUAAUCGCGUGAUAUAGCUUGAAAACGGGCGAGUGCGGGAGGGAAUCUUCUUGGUGUCAGAAACCGUUACACUAUGUGGAAAGAGGAGAGAAGGGGGGAGCGCGCGAGGUGAGUUUUAGAUGAACUCGCCUGAGUUUCAGCUGAGUUGGGAUCAGUUUGAGCAAGGCGGAUAAAGGAACAUGAUUGGGGCACCGUUUGGGGUCUCUAGGUUUAGGGUUUUGUUUUGGGGGAGGUGUUAUAACAAGGGUUAUAUAUGAGGAUGGGCAAUGGGU